rnacentral:rRNA from 1 species
CGGCGGACGGGUGAGUAAUGUAUGGGGAUCUGCCCGAUAGAGGGGGGAUAACUACUGGAAACGGUAGCUAAUACCGCAUAACGUCGCAAGACCAAAGAGGGGGACCUUCGGGCCUCUUGCCAUCGGAUGUGCCCAGAUGGGAUUAGCUAGUAGGUGGGGUAACGGCUCACCUAGGCGACGAUCCCUAGCUGGUCUGAGAGGAUGACCAGCCACACUGGAACUGAGACACGGUCCAAACUCCUACGGGAGGCAGCAUG